UAGGACAUAUCUUGCACACAAAAGUGCUUC
rnacentral:piRNA from 1 species